GGGGCUGGAAGGCAGACUGGUGUCUCCCCGAGUCUUCAAAACUCUGUGGGGCCUGCGUGUCAGGCUCGGUGGGUUCGAUUCCCAUACAGUCCCGCCA
rnacentral:tRNA from 1 species